rnacentral:rRNA from 1 species
UACGGAGGGUGCGAGCGUUAUUCGGAAUUACUGGGCGUAAAGCGCACGUAGGCGGUCAGGCAAGUCGGAUGUGAAAGCCCCGGGCUCAACCCGGGAAGUGCAUUCGAAACUGCGUGGCUAGAGUAUCGGAGAGGUUGGUGGAAUUCUCGGUGUAGAGGUGAAAUUCGUAGAUAUCGAGAGGAACACCGGUGGCGAAGGCGGCCAACUGGACGAAUACUGACGCUGAGACACGAAAGCGUGGGGAGCAAACAGG